AACAAUUAAUUCAAGAUAAAUCACUCCCCCAUGCACAGUAAGAAUAAUGGGUACCUGUGCAUCAUUAUGUGUGUUUCAGAGAUUCUUUUUACAAUUAUUGAAAGCAAUAAUGCUGAUCAGAGAGAGAGAGAGAGAGAGAGAGAGAGAGAGAGAGAGAGAGAGAGAGAGAGAGAGAGAGAGAGAGAGAGAGAGAGAGAGAGAGAGAGACGGGGUGAUCUAGGUGGUUUUUCAUGUUAGUUUUACAAUCAUCGUUUCCUUAAAAAAAAAAAAAUUAGGUUGUAUUGCUAUAAUGAACUUUUUUUAAACCUUUCUAUCUAAUCUAUCAAGUUAUUUACACGUAUAUAACAUUGGUGAGGCUUGAAUGUGCGUGUGCCUGUACGUGCGUGCGUGUAUAUGUGUGUAAAGACCAUGUACAUGUGUCUGUAUGCAUGUUACGUGCGUGUUAUAUCCCUAAAUGUUUGUUAUUAAGGAGUAGAAAGUUACAGAGGGUACAUUAGACACCGAAAUGUUAUGUUAUGUUAUGUUACCUCGUAUUAUAUGAAACACUCCGCCCUUUGCUUGGGUCCGGACUCUCUUAACUACUAUGUACAGAGACAGCUUGGCAAAAUAAACUGGUAUAAAUAGAAUGAUAAAAAAGGGAGCUAUUGACAAAGUGGCUAUAUAUAAUGUACAAGGCAAUCACUAGCUACUGAAGAGUGACUGAGAGCGUUCCUCAAAUAGUGUGGGAAUGUGCAAGUUGGGUUCUGAAACUGUUUUGAGAUUUUUACUUUUUGUUUCCAAGAUUGAUUUAAAUGAUUCGUGGUAUUUCUACUUAAAACGUGAAAUAAAGAUUGAAAAAUGA